rnacentral:piRNA from 1 species
CUAUGCCGUCCUACCUGCUGUCAAGU